CGUGCCUAACACAUGCAAGUCGAGCGAUCUUCUUCGGAAGAGAGCGGCGGACGGGUGAGUAACGCGUGGGUAACCUGCCCUGUACACACGGAUAACAUACCGAAAGGUAUGCUAAUACGGGAUAACAUAAGAAAUUCGCAUGUUUUUCUUAUCAAAGCUCCGGCGGUACAGGAUGGACCCGCGUCUGAUUAGCUAGUUGGUGAGGUAACGGCUCACCAAGGCGACGAUCAGUAGCCGACCUGAGAGGGUGAUCGGCCACAUUGGAACUGAGACACGGUCCAAACUCCUACGGGAGGCAGCAGUGGGGAAUAUUGCACAAUGGGCGAAAGCCUGAUGCAGCAACGCCGCGUGAGCGAUGAAGGCCUUCGGGUCGUAAAGCUCUGUCCUCAAGGAAGAUAAUGACGGUACUUGAGGAGGAAGCCCCGGCUAACUACGUGCCAGCAGCCGCGGUAAUACGUAGGGGGCUAGCGUUAUCCGGAUUUACUGGGCGUAAAGGGUGCGUAGGCGGUCUUUUAAGUCAGGAGUGAAAGGCUACGGCUCAACCGUAGUAAGCUCUUGAAACUGGAGGACUUGAGUGCAGGAGAGGAGAGUGGAAUUCCUAGUGUAGCGGUGAAAUGCGUAGAUAUUAGGAGGAACACCAGUAGCGAAGGCGGCUCUCUGGACUGUAACUGACGCUGAGGCACGAAAGCGUGGGGAGCAAACAGGAUUAGAUACCCUGGUAGUCCACGCCGUAAACG
rnacentral:rRNA from 1 species